CUUCACCUACUGUAGUGUUUCCCCUCUGGUUAAUGAGUCCAGCAGUGCUGCUUAUCAGUGGAAGAAAGUGGUCUCCCCGUAACAUAAACAUAUACGUAGGUUGUUGUAAAUAUUGAUACAAGACCCCCACAUCUACCUUUUACCAGAUUCCUCUGCCUGCUGCCCGCCUGUUGGGGGGAAGAAAAGUUGUGCUCCUUACACCCCUAACCACACAAAUAGCUGCCAUAGCUGUGUGACCCUGCAUGAGGAAACUGAGGUUCACAAAGGAUCUGCAUCUCACACAGCUAGCAACAGACAGAACUCCCUAAACAAACUGCAUUAACGAGAUAAAACAGCUUCGAGCAGCCAAGAUCCUAGAGUGGACACCUUCAGUCAUGAAAGAGAGCCUGUUUUGUUCUGAGUGUGUCAAAGACUCGCGCGCCGGCCUCACCCUU